rnacentral:rRNA from 1 species
UACGUAGGUGGCGAGCGUUGUCCGGAUUUACUGGGCGUAAAGCGCGCGCAGGCGGUUUCCUAAGUCCGGUGUGAAAUCGCCCGGCUUACCCGGGCGGGUGCGCUGGAGACUGGGAAGCUGGAGGUGGGCAGAGGCCGGUGGAAUUCCCGGUGUAGUGGUGAAAUGCGUAGAGAUCGGGAGGAACACCCGUGGCGAAAGCGGCCGGCUGGGCCCAUCCUGACGCUGAGGCGCGAAAGCGUGGGGAGCGAACCGGAUUAGAUACCCCCGUAGUCC